rnacentral:rRNA from 1 species
AUGCCGGAGGCACCUGCACGGGCCGCCGCCGGCGGCGCCUCCGCCCCCGCCGACGUCGACGUCGUCACCUCCAGCGGCCGCCGCAAGAUCGCCGCCCAUUCCUCCGUUCUUGCGUCGGCGUCGCCUGUGCUGGAGACCAUCCUGGAGCGCCGGCUGCAGAGGCUCAGGGAGAGCGGCAAGGGCGGCAGGGCCGUCGUCCGGGUCCGCGGCGUCACCGACGACGUCGCGGCGGCGUUCGUCCGCCUCCUCUACGCCGGCAGCAGGCGUGGCGAGGGCGAGGUGAACGAGGACGUGGAGAAGUACGCGGAGCAGCUGCUGGUGCUGGCGCACGCGUACCGGGUGCCGUGGCUGAAGCGGUGGUGCCAGGAGGCCAUCGGGUCGCGGCUCACGCCGGGCACCGUGGUGGACGCGCUGCAGCUGGCCGACCUCUGCGACGCGCCGGAGCUGCACCUCCGCUGCAUGCGCCUGCUCGCCAAGGAGUUCCGCGCCGUCGAGCGCACCGAGGCAUGGCGCUUCCUCCGCGACAACGACCCCUGGCAGGAGCUCGACGUCCUCAGCCGCCUCCACGACGCCGACAUGCGUCGGCGAAAGUGGCGUCGGAAGAGCGCGGAGCAGAAGGUGUACAUGGAGCUGAGCGACGCCAUGGACAUCCUGCGGCACAUCUGCACGGAGGGCUGCACGGAGGUCGGCCCCGUGGGGCAGGCGCCGACCAAGUCGCCGUGCCCGGCGUACGCGACGUGCCGGGGCCUGCAGCUGCUCAUCCGCCACUUCUCCCUGUGCAAGAGCCGCGCCAGCUGCCCCCGGUGCCAGCGAAUGUGGCAGCUGCUCCGCCUCCACGCCGCGCUCUGCCGCCUCCCCCACGGCCGCUGCAACACCCCUCUCUGCACGCAGUUCAAGCUCAAGGAGCAGCAGAAGGAGGCGGUGUCGGCGAAGGCCGGCGACGGCAGCGACGGCAGGUGGGCGCUUCUUGUGAAGAAGGUGAAGGCUGUCAGUGUCAUGUCUUCUCUCGGCAAGAGAAGCCCACCUCCGUGCCAGUGCUGA